GUAGCCCACUGACACAGUGCAUCGCUUGUCAUACAAGAGAAACUGUACCAGCGUGUGGGAUAGUAGCCCACUGACACAGUGCAUCGCUUGUCAUACAAGAGAAACUGUACCAGCGUGUGGGAUAGUAGCCCACUGACACAGUGCAUCGCUUGUCAUACAAGAGAAACUGUACCAGCGUGUGGGAUAGUAGCCCACUGACACAGUGCAUCGCUUGUCAUACAAGAGAAACUGUACCAGCGUCUGGGAUAGUAGCCCACUGACACAGUGCAUUGCUUGUCAAGUGUGACAUCCUGAUAAGCUGAGGUGUUGGUUCUGCCCAGAGAACGACCUUCAAGCUUCAAGCUGCAUCCUUGUGUGUGUCCCGAGGGAUGUAAUUUGGUAUUUUUCAGUUUUUCUAAAGGGCAUGAAAUAUUACUCCUCAAGGAUCAGAUGUUCUGUACAUCAGCGAUACGUGAUGGGAUGUAGUUACACAAGAGCAUCAGAUAUUGAUGAUGGAGUUGAAAGGAGGCUCUUCUUGAGUUAGCCACAGUGUGGUUUGUAAAAACAAGUAAAUAAAUAUGAAAGUUUGUUAAUCACACAGUCAUUAGAUCAUUGAACCGUACCAGUCAUCAUGACAAAGGAUGACAUCCUCUUUGUUGUGACACUUCAUUGGUUUACAUGUUUUACUCAGGCUGCAUUUACCAUUCAGUUGAUAUGAAGAAAGAAAUGAAUUGAUCAGUGAGAGCUGACUUAAUAUAACUUCCCUGGUAUCAGUGUCGUAAGUAUAGUGUAUACUGUCACUCCCACUACACACAUGGGCAACACAGGCUCCAUCAGUAAAGGUUGACUCACCAACUCAGCGUUUGUUGUCAUUAGUGUAUACUGUCACUCCCACUACACACAUGGGCAACACAGAGGCUCCAUCAGUAAAGGUUGACUCACCAACUCAGCGUUUGUUGUCAUUAGUGUAUACUGUCACUCCCACUACACACAUGUGCAACACAGAGGCUCCAUCAGUAAAGGUUGACUCACCAACUCAGCGUUUGUUGUCAUUAGUGUAUACUGUCACUCCCACUACACACAUGUGCAACACAGAGGCUCCAUCAGUAAAGGUUGACUCACCAACUCAGCGUUUGUUGUCAUUAGUGUAUACUGUCACUCCCACUACACACAUGGGCAACACAGAGGCUCCAUCAGUAAAGGUUGACUCACCAACUCAGCGUUUGUUGUCAUUAGUGUAUACUGUCACUCCCACUACACACAUGUGCAACACAGAGGCUCCAUCAGUAAAGGUUGACUCACCAACUCAGCGUUUGUUGUCAUUAGUGUAUACUGUCACUCCCACUACACACAUGGGCAACACAGAGGCUCCAUCAGUAAAGGUUGACUCACCAA